UAAAACAGAAGUCUUACCUUCUCUCCAUUGCCGGUGGUAACGAUUCUAUCUUCACUUUGUUUUCAUAAACGAGACGCAACAAUUUCAAAAUUAAUUUAUGAGUUUGCAGGUGUAAAUCGUGCAAUGGAGAAAACUGGAACUUUCACAAUGGAUUGGACAGAGCUCCUUCAACUUGUUGGCAAGGCUAGUUCAAAUCUUGCUGACGUUAUUUUCAAAGUUGGACUUUCCGAAAGCACAAUGUUCAUUUCCUCCAAGAAGUUUUCCAAAACAGAAGAUCAGAUCUUUUAGAAUGGUGUGUACUUUUCCUUCUGACUCUUGAGAAUGUGAUCUCAAUAUAUGAGAUUGUUCGCAAUUCAACUGGUGCUUCUCUGUGAUUUGACAAGGGAAUUAGAAAAUUUUAGGAUGACUGAAUGAGUUGAUUAUAGAAAAUUCAAUUGAAUUAUUGAACAAAUAAAUUUGUUAUUAAGUAUUUGUAUAGUGACUAUAUCAAAAUCACUUGAUUUAUAGGGAAACCAAUUAUUCAUUAUGUAAUUGUAAUAAUUCUCACAUUGCUGGAUGCUACUCCAAAAGAAUU